rnacentral:rRNA from 1 species
CGGUAAUUCCAGCUCCAAUAGCGUAUACUAAAGUUGUUGCAGUUAAAAAGCUCGCAGUUGGAUUUCUGCGGGGACGGAGCGGCCGGACGCAACUUGCGUCUCGAGCUAGCGCUUUCCCCGCAUCCUGCCGCGAACCGUGCUACCAUUAGCUUGGUGGCGCUGGGGAUCGGCUCGAUUACUUUGAGAAAAAUAGAGUGUUCAAAGCAGGCCACACGCCUUGAAUAAGUUAGCAUGGAAUAAUGACUAAGGACUUUGGUUCUUUUCGUUGGUGUUCGGGACUGAAGUAAUGAUUGAUAGGGACAGUUGGGGCGGUCUGUAUUCCAAAGCGAGAGGUGAAAUUCUUAGACCUUCGGAAGACAAACAGCUGCGAAAGCGUUCCGCAAGGAUGUUCCCUUUGAUCAAGAACGAAAGUUGGGGGAUCGAAGACGAUCAGAUACCGUCGUAGUCUCAACUAUAAACUAUACCAGCUAGGGAUCGGCCAACGUUUAAUUAUUCGACUUGGUCGGCACCUUAUGAGAAAUCAAAGCAUCUGGGUUCCGGGGGGAGUAUGGUCGCAAGGCUGAAACUUAAAGGAAUUGACGGAAGGGCACCACCAGGCGUGGAGCCUGUGGCUUAAUUUGACUCAACACGGGAAAACUUACCAGGUCCAGACAUAGGAAGGAUUGACAGAUUGAUAGCUCUUUCUUGAUUCUGUGGGUGGUGGUGCAUGGCCGUUUUUAGUCGGUGAAGUGAUUUGUCUGCUUAAUUGCGUUAACGGACGAGACCCCAGCCUGCUAAAUAGCGCGGCCGAGCUUUGCUCGGUGCGAGCUUCUUAGAGGGACCAUGAUGCGCGAUAGCACAAGGAAGUUUGGGGCAACAACAGGUCUGUGAUGCCCUUAGAUGUUCUGGGCCGCACACGGGCUACACUGGCGCCUGCAACGAGCAUAUCAGCUGGCCCGAGAGGGUCUUGGCUAAUCUUUGGAACCGGCGCCGUGCUUGGGAUUGACCAUUGCAAUUGUUGGUCAUGCAACGAGGAAUGCCUUGUAAACGCGAGUCAUCAGCUCGCAUUGAAUACGUCCCUGCCCUUUGUACACACCGCCCGUCGCUCCUACCGAUGAAUGUUCCGAUGAAAUUUUCGGAGAGCGCCGGAGAACGGGGCUCUGCCCUGCAGAACUGGAGGCUCAAAGUCACUUAAAUCUGAACAUUUCGAGGAAGGAGAAGUCGUAACAAGGUAGCCG